GGUAACACGAAAUCGUACCCCAAACCGACACAGGUGGUCAGGUAGAGAAUACCAAGGCGCUUGAGAGAACUCGGGUGAAGGAACUAGGCAAAAUGGUGCCGUAACUUCGGGAGAAGGCACGCUGAUAUGUAGGUGAAGUCCCUGCGGACGGAGCUGAAAUCAGUCGAAGAUACCAGCUGGCUGCAACUGUUUAUUAAAAACACAGCACUGUGCAAACACGAAAGUGGACGUAUACGGUGUGACGCCUGCCCGGUG
rnacentral:rRNA from 2 species